rnacentral:rRNA from 1 species
GACGAACGCUGGCGGCGUGCCUAACACAUGCAAGUCGAGCGAGUGGAUCUCCUUCGGGAGAGAAGCUAGCGGCGGACGGGUGAGUAACACGUGGGCAACCUGCCUCAUAGAGGGGAAUAGCCUCCCGAAAGGGAGAUUAAUACCGCAUAAGAUUGUAGCUUCGCAUGAAGUAGCAAUUAAAGGAGCAAUCCGCUAUGAGAUGGGCCCGCGGCGCAUUAGCUAGUUGGUGAGGUAACGGCUCACCAAGGCGACGAUGCGUAGCCGACCUGAGAGGGUGAUCGGCCACAUUGGGACUGAGACACGGCCCAGACUCCUACGGGAGGCAGCAGUGGGGAAUAUUGCACAAUGGGGGAAACCCUGAUGCAGCAACGCCGCGUGAGUGAUGACGGCCUUCGGGUUGUAAAGCUCUGUCUUCAGGGACGAUAAUGACGGUACCUGAGGAGGAAGCCACGGCUAACUACGUGCCAGCCGCCGCGGUAAAAC